AAUAAGCGGAGGAAAAGAAACUAACCAGGAUUCCCCUAGUAACGGCGAGUGAAGCGGGAUGAGCUCAAGCUUAAAAUCUCUGUGCCAGUUUGGCAUGGCGAAUUGUAGUCUAUAGAGGCGUUGUCAGUGCGGCUGUGCGGGGUAAGUUCCUUGGAAGAGGACAGCAUCGAGGGUGAUACUCCCGUUUGUACCUGUGCGGCUUGCGCGUACGACACGUUUUCUUCGAGUCGCGUUGUUUGGGACUGCAGCGCAAAGUAGGUGGUAAAUUCCAUCUAAAGCUAAAUAUUGGUGCGAGACCGAUAGCGAACAAGUACCGUGAGGGAAAGAUGAAAAGAACUUUGAAAAGAGAGUUAAAGAGUACCUGAAACUGCUGAAAGGGAAGCGAAUCGUAUCCAGUGUCUAUAAUCUGCGGCAUAUUUCAUUGGCGGCUUUGUGCGUGCUAUUGUUUCGGAAGCGGCUUUUGUUGCUCUGUGCUUUGGUGUUGUGCGUUGCUGCUGGUGCCCUGUGUUGCGGUGGGACGUCAGAGUCAGUUCGUAUGCUGCGGGAAAUGGCCGCCGAGGAGGUAGGUCAGGACUUCGGUCUUGGCUGUUAUAUCUUGGUGGUUUGUUGUCGUGGUUGGGACUGAGGUGCCUACAAUGUGCUUUUGAGUGUGCCGGGUUCUCAUUUGGUGGACUGUUUGGAUAGCUUGCUAUGCUUGUGGUUUUUUCAUCGAGUGAUUGAGUCUGGUGGUAACUUAUUGCCGUUCGGGACUUUGACGAAAUGGAGCGAUUCGGCCCGU
rnacentral:rRNA from 1 species